UUUGGUGAUGAUGGCAGAGAGGUCACACCCGUUCCCAUACCGAACACGGAAGUUAAGCUCUCUAGCGCCGAUGGUAGUUGGGACCUUGUC
rnacentral:rRNA from 1 species